AGAGUUUGAUCCUGGCUCAGGACGAACGCUGGCGGCGCGCUUAACACAUGCAAGUCGAGCGAUGAAACUUUAACAGAACCCUUCGGGGCGAAGAUAAAGUGGAUUAGCGGCGGACGGGUGAGUAACACGUGAGUAACCUGCCUUAGACAUUGGGAUAGCCUCGGGAAACCGGGAUUAAUACCAAAUAAAAUCAUAAUGACACAUGUCAUAACGAUCAAAACUCCGGUGGUCUAAGAUGGACUCGCGUCCCAUUAGCUAGUUGGUAGAGUAAAAGCCUACCAAGGCGACGAUGGGUAGCCGGCCUGAGAGGGUGAACGGCCACAUUGGAACUGAGAAACGGUCCAAACUCCUACGGGAGGCAGCAGUGGGGAAUAUUGCACAAUGGAGGGAACUCUGAUGCAGCGACGCCGCGUGAACGAAGAAGGCUUUCGAGUCGUAAAGUUCUUUUAUAUGGGAAGAUAAUGACGGUACCAUAAGAAAAAGCCCCGGCUAACUACGUGCCAGCAGCCGCGGUAAUACGUAGGGGGCUAGCGUUGUCCGGAAUCACUGGGCGUAAAGGGUUCGCAGGCGGAAAUGCAAGUCAGAUGUAAAAGGCAGUAGCUUAACUACUGUAAGCAUUUGAAACUGCAUAUCUUGAGAAGAGUAGAGGUAAGUGGAAUUUUUAGUGUAGCGGUGAAAUGCGUAGAUAUUAAAAAGAAUACCGGUGGCGAAGGCGACUUACUGGGCUCAUUCUGACGCUGAGGAACGAAAGCGUGGGUAGCAAACAGGAUUAGAUACCCUGGUAGUCCACGCUGUAAACGAUGAGUGCUAGGUGUCGGCGAAUGUCGGUGCCGCAGUUAACACAAUAAGCACUCCGCCUGGGGAGUACGUGCGCAAGCAUGAAACUCAAAGGAAUUGACGGGGACCCGCACAAGCAGCGGAGCAUGUGGUUUAAUUCGAAGCAACGCGAAGAACCUUACCAGGGCUUGACAUACUGAGGACGUACUUAGAGAUAAGUAUACUUCUUCGGAAGCCUCAAUACAGGUGGUGCAUGGUUGUCGUCAGCUCGUGUCGUGAGAUGUUGGGUUAAGUCCCGCAACGAGCGCAACCC
rnacentral:rRNA from 1 species